rnacentral:tRNA from 1 species
GGGGCUAUAGCUCAGUCGGUUAGAGCUCCGGACUCAUAAUCCGUCGGUCCCGGGUUCGAGUCCCGGUGGCCCCAC